UCCGUAGGUAACCUCGAGGGAUCAUUACAAG
rnacentral:rRNA from 1 species